rnacentral:rRNA from 1 species
UACGAAGGGGGCUAGCGUUGCUCGGAAUCACUGGGCGUAAAGCGCACGUAGGCGGAUUGCUAAGUCAGGGGUGAAAUCCUGGAGCUCAACUCCAGAACUGCCUUUGAUACUGUGAAGCUUGAGUCCGGGAGAGGUGAGUGGAACUCCGAGUGUAGAGGUGAAAUUCGUAGAUAUUCGGAAGAACACCAGUGGCGAAGGCGGCUCACUGGCCCGGUACUGACGCUGAGGUGCGAAAGCGUGGGGAGCAAACAGG